rnacentral:rRNA from 1 species
UACCCGCAGCACAAGUGGUGGUCAUUAUUAUUGGGCCUAAAGCGUCCGUAGCUGGCCUGUUAGAUGCCUGGGUAAAUCGAUGCGCUCAACGCAUCGAACUCCGGGUAGACCGGCAGGCUUGGGACCGGGAGAGGCGUGAGCUACUCGAGGGGUAGGGGUAAAAUCCUGUAAUCCUUCGGGGAGGACCAGUGGCGAAGCGUCACGCUAGAACGGCUCCGACAGUGAGGGACGAAGCCCUGGGGCGCAAACCGG